rnacentral:rRNA from 1 species
GAUGAACGCUUGCGGCAGGCUUAAUACAUGCAAGUCGAACGGGAUUCGAGGUAGCAAUACUUUGAUGAGAGUGGCGCACGGGUGCGUAACGCGUAUGCAACCUACCUUUAACAGGUGAAUAGCCCCGAGAAAUCGGGAUUAAUACACCGUAACAUUGCGCUGUGGCAUCACUGUGCAAUUAAAGAUUUUAUCGGUUAAAGAUGGGCAUGCGUGACAUUAGCUAGUUGGUGAGGUAACGGCUCACCAAGGCAACGAUGUCUAGGGGUCCUGAGAGGGUUAUCCCCCACACUGGUACUGAGACACGGACCAGACUCCUACGGGAGGCAGCAGUAAGGAAUAUUGGUCAAUGGGCGCAAGCCUGAACCAGCCAUGCCGCGUGCAGGAAGACGGCCCUAUGGGUUGUAAACUGCUUUUGUCAGGGAAUAAACCUGUCUACGAGUAGACAGCUGAAGGUACCUGAAGAUAAGCAUCGGCUAACUCCGUGCCAGCAG